rnacentral:rRNA from 1 species
AUACGGAGGGUGCAAGCGUUACUCGGAAUCACUGGGCGUAAAGCGCGCGCAGGCGGUCUUUUAAGUUGGAUGUGAAAGCCUACGGCUCAACCGUAGAACUGCAUCCAAAACUAUUAGACUAGAGUGUGGGAGAGGAAGAUGGAAUUAGUUGUGUAGGGGUAAAAUCCGUAGAGAUAACUAGGAAUACCAAAAGCAAAGGCAAUCUUCUGGAACACUACUGACGCUGAGGCGCGAAAGCGUGGGGAGCAAACAGGAUUAGAAACCCUAGUAGUCC